UACGUAGGGGGCGAGCGUUGUCCGGAUUUAUUGGGCGUAAAGAGCUCGUAGGCGGUUUGGUAAGUCACGGGUGAAAUCUCCACGCUCAACCUGGAGACGCCACCCGAUACUGUCAUGACUAGAGUCCGGUAGGGGAGCGUGGAAUUCCUGGUGUAGCGGUGAAAUGCGCAGAUAUCAGGAGGAACACCAGCGGCGAAGGCGGCGCUCUGGGCCGGUACUGACGCUGAGGAGCGAAAGCGUGGGUAGCAAACAGG
rnacentral:rRNA from 1 species